rnacentral:rRNA from 1 species
UACGGGGGGAGCAAGCGUUGUUCGGAUUUACUGGGCGUAAAGGGCGCGUAGGCGGUCGUGACAAGUCACUUGUGAAAUCUCUGGGCUUAACCCAGAACGGCCAAGUGAAACUGUUGUGCUAGAGUGCAGAAGGGGCAAUCGGAAUUCUCGGUGUAGCGGUGAAAUGCGUAGAUAUCGAGAGGAACACCAGAGGUGAAGACGGGUUGCUGGGCUGACACUGACGCUGAGGCGCGAAAGCCAGGGGAGCAAACGGG